UGAAAAAAUGACGGGAGAAGAGAAGAAAAGGGGAGGAAGAAGAAGAGAAAAGAGGGAAAGAUAAGGGAAGGAGAAGAGAGUUGGAGAAAAUAAGUUUAAAGGUAAGAUUAUGUAUAAAUAUGUAUAAAUAUGUGUUCUUUAAGCUUUAAGUUCUAUCUUGGUUUUGAAUAUUUUAUGUUUUGGGUUUGAUUGAUGAAUUAAUUGGAAUAUUAUGGGUUGAUUGUUGUGGGUAAUUGGUUAAUUAGUUGAUUGUGAAAGAUUGGAGGUAAAGAUGAUGAUUUUGAGUUAUGAUUUUAUUUGAAUGGUUAAAUUAUGUUAGAAAUCAGGAGAUGACAGUAGGUAAUCUGUGAAAUUCUGGGUUUGAGGUUGAAGAUGACGAAAAUUCAAUUCGGUCCCUCAAUUUGUGAAAUUACAGUUUAGUCCCUAAACUUUGGGAAAAUUAUAAUUUGACCCCUAAUUGUAUUUUGAGAUUCUGGACAGUGUUAUUAUGAGGUUAAGGAUGAUGAAUCUCAGUUUGAUAAUUGAUUGGGAAUAUUUUCAGUUUGGUCCCUCAAUUUUGGGAAUUUACAUUUUAGUCCCUGAACUUUAUGAAAAUUACAGUUCGGUCCCUGGUUCGUUCUAGACAGAAUUAAGGAUGGUUUAUGGGUGAAAAUUCAGUAUAGUUAUGUAUUUUCCAGAUUGGUCCAAUUUUGGUAAAAUUACGUUUUGGUCCUUAUUUUGGAAAAUUGUCGUUUUAGUCCAUAAACUUAGGAGACUAAACCUGGUUUUAUUUUAUGCAUUGGGAUCUCUUGUUUGAGUUGCUUUUGAGUAUAUUUUCAUAUUGUUGUAGGUUCUCCUAACGAUCCUCAAUAGGAUUUUCAGGUCUUUCGUCUGACAUUCCUUUUAGUUCUAUAAUUUUCCGGGUGAGUGAGAUAAUCUUUAAUAUGCAUAUAUGAUAAGUAAAUAUGUAUGUUGAUUAUACAAUGAGUACAACUCGUUAAUUUCUUGAAUAAUUAUAUAUGUUGCUUAUUUUCCGAAUACUCAUUUAUUCUUGAAUUUGCACUCGCAAUCUGUCAAAGUAAAUUCUAUUUAAUAUGAUAUACGUUUCUUUGAUGAUUAUGUAAAUAUCUAUUAUGCCUUGAUAUGGGACUUGUCAGUAACUCCAUGCUAACGGAGAGUAGUUAGCCUACGUGCACAUAGUAUUCUGUAUACCUAGCUGGUGAGAGAGGCAUCAGCCUGUGGCGACUGAUCAUCCCACAGUGGUCACCUUCGGGUGUCAUCUGGUCACCUUCGGGUGUCAUCUGAUCUCUGACAUGUACUCCACUACGUUAUGAUGAUAUGUUUAGUAUGUAUAUAAUAUGUUUAGUAUGUAUAUGAUAUGUUCAGUAUGUAUAUGUAUAUCAAGAUAAAGGAUCUUGCGAACUAUUAAUAUCAAGAAUAUCUAAAAUGUAUAUUAAUUAUUAUUCCAGGUUCUUAGUUUCUGAUAGUAGGUGAACCUUGUUGAGUGUUCCUGCUUCUUCAGUUUUGGGUCGGUAUGCCUUGCUUAUCUUUCAAGGCUGUUUGAUUCGAUGUCUUAGGCGCUCCACUAUUACCUUAUUUUAAUUAAGUUUGGAUUUUUGACAAUGUAAUGAGUAUUAUGGAUUAUUGUUUUUCUUUUAAUUACUGAUGAGGAGUUUUAAACUAUCUUUUGGUUUCAUCAGUUUUGAAUAAUAUAA
rnacentral:lncRNA from 1 species